GUUUUUAGNUUUUNNUGUACGCUCAGGAUGAACGCCGGCGGUGUGCCUAAUACAUGCAAGUCGAACGCGUUGGCCCAAUUGAUUGAUGGUGCUUGCACCUGAUUGAUUUUGGUCGCCAACGAGUGGCGGACGGGUGAGUAACACGUAGGUAACCUGCCCAGAAGCGGGGGACAACAUUUGGAAACAGAUGCUAAUACCGCAUAACAACGUUGUUCGCAUGAACAACGCUUAAAAGAUGGCUUCUCGCUAUCACUUCUGGAUGGACCUGCGGUGCAUUAGCUUGUUGGUGGGGUAAUGGCCUACCAAGGCGAUGAUGCAUAGCCGAGUUGAGAGACUGAUCGGCCACAAUGGGACUGAGACACGGCCCAUACUCCUACGGGAGGCAGCAGUAGGGAAUCUUCCACAAUGGGCGCAAGCCUGAUGGAGCAACACCGCGUGAGUGAAGAAGGGUUUCGGCUCGUAAAGCUCUGUUGUUAAAGAAGAACACGUAUGAGAGUAACUGUUCAUACGUUGACGGUAUUUAACCAGAAAGUCACGGCUAACUACGUGCCAGCAGCCGCGGUAAUACGUAGGUGGCAAGCGUUAUCCGGAUUUAUUGGGCGUAAAGAGAGUGCAGGCGGUUUUCUAAGUCUGAUGUGAAAGCCUUCGGCUUAACCGGAGAAGUGCAUCGGAAACUGGAUAACUUGAGUGCAGAAGAGGGUAGUGGAACUCCAUGUGUAGCGGUGGAAUGCGUAGAUAUAUGGAAGAACACCAGUGGCGAAGGCGGCUACCUGGUCUGCAACUGACGCUGAGACUCGAAAGCAUGGGUAGCGAACAGGAUUAGAUACCCUGGUAGUCCAUGCCGUAAACGAUGAGUGCUAGGUGUUGGAGGGUUUCCGCCCUUCAGUGCCGGAGCUAACGCAUUAAGCACUCCGCCUGGGGAGUACGACCGCAAGGUUGAAACUCAAAGGAAUUGACGGGGGCCCGCACAAGCGGUGGAGCAUGUGGUUUAAUUCGAAGCUACGCGAAGAACCUUACCAGGUCUUGACAUCUUGCGCCAACCCUAGAGAUAGGGCGUUUCCUUCGGGAACGCAAUGACAGGUGGUGCAUGGUCGUCGUCAGCUCGUGUCGUGAGAUGUUGGGUUAAUCCCGCAACGAGCGCA
rnacentral:rRNA from 2 species